rnacentral:rRNA from 1 species
ACGAACGCUGGCGGCGUGGAUAAGACAUGCAAGUCGAACGAGAGAAUUGCUAGCUUGCUAAUAAUUCUCUAGUGGCGCACGGGUGAGUAACACGUGAGUAACCUGCCCCCGAGAGCGGGAUAGCCCUGGGAAACUGGGAUUAAUACCGCAUAGUAUCGAAAGAUUAAAGCAGCAAUGCGCUUGGGGAUGGGCUCGCGGCCUAUUAGUUAGUUGGUGAGGUAACGGCUCACCAAGGCGAUGACGGGUAGCCGGUCUGAGAGGAUGUCCGGCCACACUGGAACUGAGACACGGUCCAGACACCUACGGGUGGCAGCAGUCGAGAAUCAUUCACAAUGGGGGAAACCCUGAUGGUGCGACGCCGCGUGGGGGAAUGAAGGUCUUCGGAUUGUAAACCCCUGUCCAUGUGGGAGCAAAUUAAAAGAUAGUACCACAAGAGGAAGAGACGGCUAACUCUGUGCCAGCAGCCGCAGUAA